rnacentral:misc_RNA from 1 species
AAAAAAAAAAAAAUAUAAAAAAAUUAAAAAAAAAAAGCCUAGAAAUCAAAUAUAUUAAAAAAAAAAAACUAAAGGGGAGAAAGAGGAACCAAAUUAGUGAUACAAAAGAGCGUCAGAUUAUGAAAACCCUAAGGGAAAGCCCUGAAUCCUAGAUAAUGAUGAGGUUUCGGCGAAUCAAAAGUGAAAGUAGAAGCGCACUUGCAGGGAUGGAGGAUUUUAGCAUUAAAUGAAAUGGUGCAGGGAAGAGGGAUGGGGGUGAUCAAUAUUAGGUUUCGUGGAUACAGAGAUAGAGAGAAAGAGAGAGAAAUAAAGGAGUGUUUGGGUACGAGAAUUGGGGAUUGCGG